GCCUGGGUGGCUCAGUUGGUUGAGCGUCCGACUUUGGCUCAGGUCAUGAUCUCACAGUUUGUGGGUUCGAGCCCCACAUUGGGCU
rnacentral:tRNA from 1 species